CUCGCAGUGUGUAAACUCUGAUGGAGGUUUUAAGUUUGCAGUGAGUGUAAUAAACCCUAAACCCUAAAUAAUGGCUUAUGGUCCUUUCUCUCUCUUACUAACCAGACGCUUCUCUCUCUCCCUAUCUCCCCUAAACCCUAAAUCCUCGUUCUUACUCUUGCAGCUUGUCACCAAACCAUUCUCAACCUCCCCAGAAUCAAACCCAAAACCUUCUACCCUUUCUGCGCGUCUCAGCUUCGUCUUUGAUCAAAUCGAUGCCAUUGAAAAAGAGCGCUCCCAGAAGAACGAAACGCUUCAACGCAUUCGAUCCUGGCGCGAAUCCAAGAUCACCUUAACCGCUCAAAACGAUACUCAUGGUACCGAAUCAGAAUCACCAUUUGCAGCGGAUGAAAUCCCUAAACCUGCUGAGUCGAAGCUUGUGGCGAAGAAUGAGGUGGAGAUGGUGCACCCAUGGCCUGAGUGGAUCCAAUUGAUGGAAAGGCUGGUGCACCAGAAUUACUUUGAUCACAGGAGGAUGGACGAGGAUAAAAUGGUUCACGAUUUAGGUUUCGAUCCUCCCGAAGUUGUGGAUGAUGCUGGAUUCGAUUUGACUAAGGAUUUCAAGAGCGUUCAUAAUGCAUGUCUCAAUUUUGGGAAAGACCGUUUCGACAUAUUGAGGUCCUUGUCGAGGAAGGAUAUUCAAAUUUUGGUUGGUUUUGGAUGCCCCAGUGUGGAUAGAAAGGUGGUUUUCUCUUCAAAGCUUUUAAGGAAGCAUGUCCACCUCGAUGAAGGAGAUGUCUGUAGUUCCUGCAGUUUGAGAAACAAUUGUGAAAGGGCAUAUCUGCUAACGAACAAGGAGGAUGAGGCACGGACUAUUGAUGUCAUGCGGAUUCUACUGACUUUUGGUUUCGAUCCUGUUAAUGGAUCAGUCAUCAACAAGUCACUUCUAAAGCAAAAGUCUGUCAAAACAGUGGUUCGUAAAUUGCUUCAUGAGGUUGUCAAGCUGAGUUCGGUUCCUAUUGAUCCAAAUCUCCCUCCUCCAGUGAUUAAAAAGCCUCCACCAAAAGUGAAACAACCUCCUCCUCCUCCAAAGAAACGUGUUGGACGUGAUGAUGUCGAGAUGAAAAAAGGGGACUGGCUAUGUCCUAAGUGUGAAUUCAUGAAUUUUGCUAAGAAUACUGCUUGCUUACAGUGUGAUGCCAAGCGUCCUAAGAGACAGUUGCUGCCAGGAGAAUGGGAAUGUCCUGAGUGCAACUUCUUGAAUUACAGGAGGAACAUGGUAUGCUUUCAUUGCGAUUGUAAACGCCCACCUGAUGAAUUUCUGGAGAAUAAAAUGCAAGAUAAAAUGAACAAUUCCAAGCCAAAGUUAGAUAAGAAGGGCAACUGGCAAGAGUUUUCGAAUGCCUGGAAUUUUGACUUCGAUGACAAUGAAUCAGAUGGUGCAGAUGUAGCUGCUUUUGAGUAUGCAGAUGCUCAUGCUAUAGAUGAAGAUUUCCCUUCAGAUAACCAGGCUCAACAUGGAAAUUAUAGGGGGAGGGAAGAUGAUUUUCAGAAAAAUGAGAGAGUGCAAAGGUCCGGUGAAGGAGAAUAUGAUAAUCCUGGUCUUCAUAGACCUGGAAUAGGGUUUGAUGAUUUUGAGGAUGAGGAUGAUAUAGAUAGUUACGAGCUAGAAACUCAAGCUCAAAAUAGUAGUACAAGAAUGGAAGCAUCUAAAAGUCAUUUCUCAGAAGCUGAAGACUCUUCGGAGUUGGAAGAUAUCGAAGAUGCUGAUGAUAAAAUGCAUGCACGUCACAAAACAGCUUCCAGAAGAAAUGUCCAAUCUCGUUCAAUUCGCAAGAAUACAUCUUUCUCUGGAUCCAAGGAUGUUGAUGGUCUUGAUUUUGAUACCAAUGAACAGCAGUCCAUUCUUUCCAAUUUCAAAUCUAGCCAUGUUUCUGCUGCUGGCCAGAAAAGAAGGGGCAGAAGUCCACCCAAGAAAUUAAGCUUCGGUUCUGAAUCUGACGAAGAUGUUGGUGCUGGCUUAUACUCUGAUGAGGAUGAUGACUUAAAUGAGGUAUAUUCAUCGAGAAAACAUAAAGGGAACAAACAUGAUCCAUCCAGACAAAACAAUGGGCAUAGACAUGAUUCUGGGAGAAGGAACUUUACUAAAGACAGGAAGUCUGGAUCCACUGGUGGUCGCAAAGAAAAUAUGUUCGGUGAUGAUUUUGAUGGAUCAUCCCGGCAGUCUUAUAGGAAUGGUAGAGGGUCUCAGGGAAAUAGCCGUAAUUGGAAGAAGUUUGAAGAUUUUGAUGGAUCAUCCAAGCAAUCUUAUGGUAACGGCAGAGUGUCUCGAGGAAAUGACCGUAUUGGAUCUUCCCGGAAGUCUUAUGGGAAUGGUGGAGGAUCUCGAGGAAAUGGCCAGAAUUGGCAGAAAUUUGAAGACAGUAAUAGCAGAGGACGGUUUAAUAAAUACAGUGUGGAUGAGAAGGGUUCUGGCGAAUUUAGAAAUAGUAGGCGAGUGAUUGAAAGAUAAUGCCAUAGCUCCAUAAACAAAUUUUUGUUACUCAGUUUGUUGUUGCAGAUGACUAUUGGUGAUCGCCAAAGUCAAAUGUGGUACAAGCCUCUAAAGGAGGCGUUGUUCGUUCACCGGCGUCAUUCGUGGCUGUUCUGUUUCUCGUUCCUGUCUUCAUCUUUCGUCGGACCUCCAUGGAUCUUCAUUGUGUCUGUUCUUGUUCGUUGGACCUUCAUCGCUGCGUCUUCGUCCAACAACCGCCCUUCCUCCUUUGUAUCCGGUUUCGUGGAAGUUUUUCGGUGUCUCUUUCAUCUUCGACGACUUCUCCUUUCUUGAUUUCUUAGAUUUGUGUUUUCCUUCUUUCCAGAUUUGUUUCCAUUUCUCUCGGCAAAAUAGCCCCGUAACUUCGGGAGAAGGGGUGCCUCCUCACAAAGGGGGUCGCAGUGACCAGGCCCGGGCGACUGUUUACCAAAUAGAUUUGUUCUCCUUUGUUCUUUGAUCUGCGUUUUUUCCCUCUAGGAUGCAUUUGCUCCGACUGUAGCAUUUUCGUUCCAGAUUAUUGAAGUUUUUCGAUCUGCGUUUUUCUUAUCUGGUCUCUUCCCCUCCGGCCGUGUCCUUCUCUUUUCCAGUCGUGUGUUUAUCUUUUUGCUGGAUCAUGUUUCUCCUAGUCGUGUCUCCUCUUUGGCUGCAUUUUUUUUUCUUAGUCAUCUUCCAGCUUUGAUACCAUGUUAGAAAUAUGAUAAAGAGAAAAUAAUAGAAAAAUUGAUUUCAUUGAAUAAUUGUUGAUUUGUACAUAAACGAGGCUUUUAUGUAAAAGAGUAAGAUAAGAUUCUAGAAUAUCAUAAUAUAUCAAAAUAUCCCAAAUAAUAUUUCUAUUCCUAGUAGUUAUGUUAGUAACUUCUAAAUAUGAGUGCAAGUUCAAAGUAAACAAUGCCCAUUUUUGUAAUCACCCAUGUUGUUG